AUUCCAGCUCCAAUAGCGUAUACUAAUGUUGUUGCAGUUAAAAAGCUCGUAGUUGAACCUCUGGUAGGAGUAACCCGGCCUUUGGGCUCAUGCCCUCUGUUUGCUGUGUGUUAUCUCUGGCCAUCUUCGCUGUUCUUUGGACAGCGUCUUUCACUGUAAAAAAAUUAGGGUGUUUCAAGCAAAAGUUUCUUUGGAAUAUAUUAGUAUGGGAUGAUAAGAUAAGCUCUCGAUGCUAUUUUGUUGGUUUGCACAUCAAGAGAAUGAUUAACAGGGACAGUUGGGGGUAUUCGUAUUUACAUGUCAGAGGUGAAAUUCUUGGAUUUUGGAAAGACGAACUACUGCGAAAGCAUUUACCAAGGAUGUUUUCAUUG
rnacentral:rRNA from 1 species